rnacentral:lncRNA from 1 species
CCUUGUGCUUGAUCACCGCGCCCCGCUCAUCCUUCUUGAGCUUGUACACCCAUUUGAGGGUAAUGGGCCGGUGGCCAGCCGGGAGCGUUGCUAGCUCCUAGGUGUGGUUCUGCUCCACAGACUUGAGCUCCUGCUCCAUAGCCGCGCGCGCGCCCCGCUCAUCCUUCUUGAGCUUGUACACCCAUUUGAGGGUAAUGGGCCGGUGGCCAGCCGGGAGCGUUGCUAGCUCCUAGGUGUGGUUCUGCUCCACAGACUUGAGCUCCUGCUCCAUAGCCGCGCGCCAGGCAGGAUCGUCCUUGGCCUGGUCGAAGUUCGCCGGUUCUCCCGCAUGAGUCAGAUGGACUUC